CGUAGGGUGCGAGCGUUAAUCGGAAUUACUGGGCGUAAGCGUGCGCAGGCGGUUUUGUAAGACAGGCGUGAAAUCCCCGGGCUCAACCUGGGAACUGCGCUUGUGACUGCAAGGCUAGAGUACGGCAGAGGGGGGUGGAAUUCCACGUGUAGCAGUGAAAUGCGUAGAGAUGUGGAGGAACACCAAUGGCGAAGGCAGCCCCCUGGGUCGAUACUGACGCUCAUGCACGAAAGCGUGGGUAGCAAACAGGAUUAGAUACCCUGGUAAUCCACGCCCUAAACGAUGUCAACUAGGUGUUGGGUGGGUAAAACCAUUUAGUACCGGAGCUAACGCGUGAAGUUGACCGCCUGGGGGAGUACGGCCGCAAGGUUA
rnacentral:rRNA from 1 species